UAACUUGCCUUUCUUCAUACAAAAUGGCACAGAGAAUCUUUUAUCUUGUAGUUUUAUGCAUUAUCAACUUGCUUUUCUUUCUAUUCUUCUCAUCUGAAACAGUUCUGUCAGCUAGACCUGGACAAGCCCACUGCUCUCAUCUGAGAUGGUGUCUGCUAUGCAAGCCAGAACCCUUAGAUCGAAGGAGAAGAGUGAGCAGCAAAAAUAUACGAGGAAAGCAAAGCUUUUGCGAAUGAAAGCGGUUCAGAACAUGCCGAACUCCCUAGGGCAGUAGCUUACGGUUGAUGGUGUUGUCUUCUUUUACUAAUAAAUUAAGAGAAAAUUUUAGAUAGAAUCAAUUUAUUAAGUCAUUAAUUAAGUCAAUUAAAUUACUUUUAAUAAUAUAAUAUAAAUAAAUAAGUGUUUUAAUUUUUAA